GAUGAACGCUGGCGGCGUGCUUAACACAUGCAAGUCGAACGAAGCACUUGAUUUGAUUUUCUUCGGAGAUGAAGAUCCUGUGACUGAGUGGCGGACGGGUGAGUAACGCGUGGGCAACCUGCCUUGUACAGGGGGAUAACAGUUAGAAAUGACUGCUAAUACCGCAUAAGACCACAGCAUCACAUGAUGCAGGGGUAAAAACUGAGGUGGUACAAGAUGGGCCCGCGUCUGAUUAGCUGGUUGGUGAGGUAACGGCUCACCAAGGCGACGAUCAGUAGCCGACCUGAGAGGGUGACCGGCCACAUUGGGACUGAGACACGGCCCAAACUCCUACGGGAGGCAGCAGUGGGGAAUAUUGCACAAUGGGGGAAACCCUGAUGCAGCGACGCCGCGUGAGUGAUGAAGUAUUUCGGUAUGUAAAGCUCUAUCAGCAGGGAAGAAAA
rnacentral:rRNA from 1 species